rnacentral:rRNA from 1 species
AACGUAGGAGGCAAGCGUUAUCCGGAAUCACUGGGCGUAAAGGGCGUCUAGGCGGACGGGACAGCGGGGUGUGAAAGCUCCUGGCUUAACUGGGAGAGUGCGCUCUGAACUACCCGACUAGAGUACAGGCGACGGAGGUGGAAUUCCCGGUGGAGUGGUGAAAUGCGUAGAGAUCGGGAGGAACACCAGUGGCGAAGGCGGCCUUCGAGCCUGAAACUGACGCUAAAGCGCGACGGCGUGGGGAGCAAACGGG